rnacentral:rRNA from 1 species
GCCUACGGGGGGCAGCAGUGAGGGAUAUUGGUCAAUGGGCGAGAGCCUGAACCAGCCAAGUCGCGUGAGGGAAGACGGUCCUAUGGAUUGUAAACCUCUUUUGUCGGGGAGCAAAAAGACUACGUGUAGUCCCAAGCGAGAGUACCCGAAGAAAAAGCAUCGGCUAACUCCGUGCCAGCAGCCGCGGUAAUACGGAGGAUGCGAGCGUUAUCCGGAUUUAUUGGGUUUAAAGGGUGCGCAGGCGGAUUUUUAAGUCAGCGGUCAAAUCGUGGGGCUCAACCCCAUCCAGUCGUUGAAACUGGGGA